GACAGAGGGGGCAAGCGUUGCUCGGAAUUACUGGGCGUAAAGGGCGCGUAGGCGGGAUGGCAAGUCGGUCGUGAAAUCCCUCGGCUCAACCGAGGAACGUCGAUCGAUACUGCUGUUCUUGAGGAUUGCAGAGGAGAUUGGAAUUCCCGGUGUAGCGGUGAAAUGUGUAGAGAUCGGGAGGAACACCGGUGGCGAAGGCGGGUCUCUGGGCAAUUCCUGACGCUGAGGCGCGAAAGCGUGGGGAGCAAACGGG
rnacentral:rRNA from 1 species